AGGUGUAAGGUUCUCCAAUAUCUGGAAGCUGAAGCUAGAGAAAUUUAUACAAGAAAUAAGGUGCACGUUUUUAACAAUGAGGUUAAUUAAUCAUUGGAACAAC